AUUGAACGCUGGCGGCAUGCUUUACACAUGCAAGUCGGACGAGUGGCGAACGGGUGAGUAAUAUCUCGGAACGUACCGAGUAGUGGGGGAUAACUAAUCGAAACAUUAGCUAAUACCGCAUAUUAUUCGAGCUGCCGAGAUCUGAUUAGCUAGUUGGUGGGGUAAAGGCCUACCAAGGCGACGAUCAGUAGCGGGUCUGAGAGGAUGAUCCGCCACACGUGGACUGAGACACGGCCCAGACUCCUACGGGAGGCAGCAGUGGGGAAUUUUGGACAAUGGGCGCAAGCCUGAUCCAGCCAUACCGCGUGUCUGAAGAAGGCCUUCGGGUUGUAAAGGACUUUCGUCAGGGAGGCGGUACCUGAAGAAUAAGCACCGGCUAACUCCGUGCCAGCAGCCGCGGUAAUUC
rnacentral:rRNA from 1 species